CCAUUCCUUUCUGUAAAGACUAAACAAUAAAAAUCCUUUGCUGACAAGCGUUUUGAUAAAUCUGGCAUUGGUGACCACCUGACAAUACUUGCUAUACGCUACGAGUUGUCAUGGUGUUAUUAAAGGGCUGAAUUCUGA